rnacentral:sRNA from 1 species
ACAAGAACAAUAAAAACGUACCCCCUCCAUAACAAAAACAAGACGUAGCGACUCCAGCACAACAAGAACAAGCAGGCGGAGGCGUAGCUAACUGAUCAUUUUGGAGAAGAGUCGUCUUGCGGGAUGGUCCCGCGAUGUCAGGCCAGAGAACAAUAAAACUGCCCCGAGGCAGCACCCGUACCAGGCAGAGCAGGAAUGAUCCUGACGACAUCAGCUUCCAAAGUAAUCCGUUUGCUCUUGGCUCUAGACUUCAGAGCCUUUCCGGCGGCCGGUAUCCGCACGGGACAGACCACACAAGAAAAACAAGAGGUCUGGAUAGACAAUAAAAACAAAGCACGUACCACUUUGGGGGGGAGCUUCGGCUCCCCCAGUGCCUUUGACAGC